UACGUAGGGUGCGAGCGUUAAUCGGAAUUACUGGGCGUAAAGUGUGCGCAGGCGGCAGAGCAAGUCGAGUGUGAAAGCCCCGGGCUUAACUUGGGAAUUGCGCUCGAAACUACUUUGCUGGAGUGUGGCAGAGGAAGGUAGAAUUCCACGUGUAGCGGUGAAAUGCGUAGAGAUGUGGAGGAACACCAAUGGCGAAGGCAGCCUUCUGGGCCAACACUGACGCUCAUGCACGAAAGCGUGGGGAGCAAACAGG
rnacentral:rRNA from 1 species